GUGAGGAAUAUUGCGCAAUGGAGGCAACUCUGACGCAGCCAUGCCGCGUGCAGGAAGAAGGCGCUACGCGUUGUAAACUGCUUUUAACCGGGAAGAAACCCCAGGACGUGUCCUGGGUUGACGGUACCGGAGGAAUAAGCACCGGCUAACUUCGUGCCAGCAGCCGCGGUAAUACGAAGGGUGCAAGCGUUAUCCGGAUUCAUGGGGUUUAAAGGGUGCGUAGGCGGAGCGUUAAGUCAGUGGUGAAAUCCUGCAGCUUAACUGUAGACUGGCCAUUGAUACUGGCGCUCUUGAGUGCGCUUGAAGUGGGCGGAAUGUGCCGUGUAGCGGUGAAAUACUUAGAUAUGGCACAGAACACCAAUUGCGAAGGCAGCUCACUAAGGCGAUACUGACGCUGAGGCACGAAAGCGUGGGGAUCGAACAGGAUUAGAAACCCCGGUAGUCC
rnacentral:rRNA from 1 species